rnacentral:rRNA from 1 species
CGGAAACGAAAGUCUUCCGGUUCCGGGGGAAGUAUGGUUGCAAAGCUGAAACUUAAAGGAAUUGACGGAAGGGCACCACCAGGAGUGGAGCCUGCGGCUUAAUUUGACUCAACACGGGGAAACUCACCCGGCCCGGACACCGUAAGGAUUGACAGAUUGAUAGCUUUUUCAUGAUUCGGUGGAUGGUGGUGCAUGGCCGUUCUUAGUUCGUGGAGCGAUUUGUCUGGUUUAUUCCGAUAACGAGCGAGACUCUGGCCUACUAAAUAGUUGGAGCAUUGCCGCUGUGCUCACACACUUCUUAGAGGGAUUGUCGGUGUUCAGCCGCAAGAAAUUGAACAAUAACAGGUCUGUGAUGCCCUUAGAUGUCCGGGGCUGCACGCGCGCUACACUGGCAAAAUCAGCGUGCUUGUCCUUGCCCGAGAGGGCGUGGUAAACCCGUGAAAAUUUGCCGUGAUUGGGAUCGGACAUUGCAAUUAUUGUCCGUGAACGAGGAAUUCCUUGUAGGGGCGAGUCAUCAGCUCGCUCUUGAUUACGUCCCUGCCCUUUGUACACACCGCCCGUCGCUGCCCGGGACUGAGCCAUUUCGAGAAACUCGGGGACCGUUGGUUGAGCAGCCUUCGGGCUGUCCAGCCGAUGGAAACCGAUUUAAUCGCAGUGGCUUGAACCGGGCAAAAGUCGUAACAAGGUAGCUGUAGGUGAACCUGCUGCUGGAUCAUUAGCCAAGUGACCACGCAUUCACCACCUACCCGUUGCUUUGCUGUUGUGAGCGCACUCAUCUUCCUCCGAGGGAAAUGCCAUUGGGCAAGCCAACGUUAUUGGCCUCCGGAGGCAAUGAGUCCAGGCCCCAAGUUGGGCUGUCACUUCAGCUCAGCAACCGCUCUGAGGGUAUUUGCGCAAGAUUUUGGCCGUCAUUCUGGUGCAGUGGCGCACACAUUUCUCCGCGGGUAAUGCCAUUGGGCAAGCCAACGUUAUUGGCCUCCGGAGGCAAUGAGUCCGAGCCGCCUUGCGGUGGCUGCACUGUCCAUCUAAGUGACGUGCCCUCGGGGCAACUAACGGCUGUGCUGGCGUCUGUGCGUUGUUGAGCAGUUGUUGCGCGCAAUUUGUUGCCGGAGUUGUGAUCAGAGCACGUUGGCGUGGACAUGUUCUCGGGAUCGUCCACGUCUCACACACCGUGACUGCGGAUGUGCUCUGUGUACUCUGACAGCAAUUGUGCGCUACGUCCGUGGCUGUGAUGAGACGACGCGGUAGGGCCUUGUGCCAGCGAUGCACUUGGUUUAAGACUUGAUGAGCUCGUUGCGAGAGCCGCCAGCGUUUUUUUUCUUUUCAAUAUUUUUUUAACGCACAAAUGGUG